GGAGAGGUGUCCGAGUGGUCGAAGGAGCUUGAUUGGAAAUCAAGUGUAGGGGAAACCCUACCGAGGGUUCGAAUCCCUCUCUCUCCGCCA
rnacentral:tRNA from 1 species